AACUUAAAAAAAAGUCAAAAUGACCUUUUUUAUUCAGUGGCAGAAAAAAAAACUUCCAUAAAAAGGGCAAAUAAGGAUUAGAAUUAGAAAUAAAGAAAAAAGCAGCCCUGUGAAAUCUAAUUAAUGGUUUCAGAGAAAAACAACCGAUUGCAAAUGCAGUGCAUUUGAAUAAUUCAUGAUAGACUGUUUAUUAAAUUAAAUAACCAGAUUACAAGACUGAAGAGUGGAAUAAAAAGCCAAGAAUCUGCUACAUCAAAGCUCUUCCCACUAAAGAUGCUGUGAUAUCGGUGUAUAAGUGUUAAAUGCAAGAGAAAAUACAACUGACAAAACAUGACGGAAAGUUUACAACCAAGCCGUCAUUGACAUAGCGAUAAUUUAGUUUAGAUUAUUAGUUCAUAAAACCAGUGCAACAGAGAAAAUACCUUUGAAAAAUUGCAAAGAACACAGAGACUUAAGACAGGCAGACUCAAGCCCAGAAAGAGAAGAAAGCCAAAAAAGGCCACGGUUUUGGGUGAAAAGCCACUGUAACAUUCAGCAUUGGGACAUUCAAACCUAUCUAGGCAACAAAGUGAAAGAAAGAAAGAGAAAGAGAGAGAGAUCUGAAAGAGUGAGGGGGUAGUGAUGCAGGAAAUCCAAUGCCGAGGGCAGUGAGCGUUUGGAGAAGUUAAAGAGUGAGCUAGUGAAGGAGGGAGUGAGAAAACGUAAGUGAGAGUGGAAGCCUCACAUGUUAGAGGGACAGCGCUCAGGCUGCGGAUCUCCUGUGGCUUGACAUACGAAGGAGGCCACGCCCCCCUGAACACCUAUCUGAUCAACGGGCGUCCGAGUGAACUGAGGAGGAGCUGCAGAGGAAGACAGAGAUUUGUUGUCUGUUUAAGCGGAACGCAAUAACAAAGCAUGUGUGAACACACAUUUAAAAGGAAGGCAUGUCUUAAAAUAUGUACCACAUUUUCACCACAUUCCCUUGUUAAAAAUGACAAAAACCUGUCUUUAAAAUCAUAAAACGUUUUUGAAAAUCAGGCUCUGAUUUCAGGUGUGCAUUAAAAGUGCAUUUUAACUGC